rnacentral:rRNA from 1 species
GACGAACGCUGGCGGCGUGCUUAACACAUGCAAGUCGAACGGAAAGGCCCGGCUUUUGUGGGGUGCUCGAGUGGCGAACGGGUGAGUAACACGUGAGUAACCUGCCCUUGACUUUGGGAUAACUUCAUGAAACUGGGGCUAAUACCGGCUAGGAGCUCCUGCUGCAUGGUGGGGGUUGGUAAGUUUCGGCGGUUGGGGGUGGACUCGCGGCUUAUCAGCUUGUUGGUGGGGUAGUGUAUUACCAAGGCUUUGACGGGUAGCAGGCCUGGGCGGAUGACCUGCCCAGUCACGCUGGAGCUACGGCACAGCCUCCUCUGGGACGCAGGGGUGGGGAAUGUUACAUAAGGGGCGGAGCGCUGAUGUAGUCCAGCCGCGCCCGGGAUGACGGCAUUGGGGUAGUGAUGUGCUUUCGCCUGUGACGGGGCGUGAGUGACGGUAACGGGUAAAGAAGCACCGGCUAACUCCGUG